rnacentral:tRNA from 1 species
GGGGUUGUGACUCAAUGGUAGAUCUUUCGCCUCGCAGGUGCGAGACCCUGGGUUCGAUCCUCAGCACCACA